AAUAUUAAACAAAAGUGUGCUGAGAUCAGGGAUGAAUUAACAGGAAUGGUAGGAGUAGUGGGAGACAAAGUAACUUUUAACCCCUACACGAUUGUGAUUUAAAUGUAAUGAGUAGGCAAUAUUACAAUAAUUUAAAACCAAGCCUGAGGUAAAGUAGAAGAAGGAGCUCCACUGAAAUUUUAAGUACUAUAGAAGCAUUAUUUUAGGACAGCUGCCUUAAAUUCUUGUAUGUCCUUUUGAAGCCUGCCACAACCCUCCACAAAAAGGCUAGCGGAAAAGGCAAACACGCUGGAAGGUGCAAUCUAAUGCGAAGACGUGUGAAGUGAUACAUUUUUGAAAGAACGGAGGGGCUUAAUAAAGGCUCACAGUUUAAAAGGAGGGAUGUGAAAAAAAAGACGUGGUGCAAAGAAAAUCUGAAAAAAAAACGUGCGCAAUAAAAGGACUUCAGUGAUGAAGAAACACGGGAGAAGCUGGGAUGCUUACCUCAAGGAAAAGGCUGAAAGGAAAUUUGAAAGGAAUGCUCAGAAGCUGAGGGCUUCAGAUAGAGACGGGGAGGAACUAUUUUCAUCAGAUACAAGAACCAGAGGAGACGGAUUUUAAAGCCAAGCAAGCUACUGCCUAUCAUCUGAAAAGUCAACUAAUCUGAAUUCCAAUAAAUACAUUGUAGAAACUGGAAGAUUUGGGCCAGUCAGAAGACAACUUGACUGGUGAACUUAAAAAGGGUAAAAACCAAGCAAGUUUAAAAGCGCUCAACAGGUAAUUCUUUAUGGGCUGUGACCUGCAGGAAGAACUGACUUGAGCUGAGAGCAAAGACUUGAGUUGCAUGUACACGACUUAUCUUGAUGGUACACUGAAAACAUUAUACAGGUUAAAAACCACAACCAAUCUUCAAGACCCAAUCACCAUCUUGACUAACUGUCCUACAAUAGAGGGAAUGGAUGGGUGUCUAUCUUUAAAUACUUACUGGAAAAUAACAGCUACUGCCAUAAAAAGAUGGCAUGUCCUCCGACUCUCCGGAAUUAGACAGGAAAUGCUAUGCUGUGCACGAGACAGCUGGGGUUGGAAGAACUGGUUACUAGCACAUAUUGGGAAGGUUUGCAUGUGCUGAUUGCAGCUAACUGGAAAAACUGACCCUUGUACUACUAAAGUUAAUCAGAGCAGGAGUAGGCCUUCAAGUCUGCCUUUCAAUGAAACAUAUCAGCCAUGAUCUCAACACCAAAUUUCCCACAUUAUCCCUUGAUAUUUUUACUAUCCAGAAAUCAUUAGUCUCCACAUUGAAAAUUCUCAAUGGUGAAAUCUCCUAGGCCAAUGGGGUAGAAAAUUCCAAACAUUAACCAUCAAAUGAAAGAAUUUACAAGAUGAUCAGAGGAUUAGAUAGGGUGGACAGUGGGAGCCU